GAUGAACGCUGGCGGCGUGCCUAAUACAUGCAAGUCGAGCGAACAGACGAGGAGCUUGCUCCUCUGACGCUAGCGGCGGACGGGUGAGUAACACGUGGAUAACCUACCUAUAAGACUGGGAUAACUUCGGGAAACCGGAGCUAAUACCGGAUAAUAUAUUGAACCGCAUGGUUCAAUAGUGAAAGACGGUUUUGCUGUCACUUAUAGAUGGAUCCGCGCCGCAUUAGCUAGUUGGUAAGGUAACGGCUUACCAAGGCAACGAUGCGUAGCCGACCUGAGAGGGUGAUCGGCCACACUGGAACUGAGACACGGUCCAGACUCCUACGGGAGGCAGCAGUAGGGAAUCUUCCGCAAUGGGCGAAAGCCUGACGGAGCAACGUCGCGUGAGUGAUGAAGGUCUUCGGAUCGUAAAACUCUGUUAUUAGGGAAGAACAAAUGUGUAAGUAACUAUGCACGUCUUGACGGUACCUAAUCAGAAAGCCACGGCUAACUACGUG
rnacentral:rRNA from 1 species